CAGCCGCCGCGGUAAUACGAAGGGUGCAAGCGUUACUCGGAAUUACUGGGCGUAAAGCGUGCGUAGGUGGUGGUUUAAGUCCGUUGUGAAAGGCCUGGGCUCAACCUGGGAAUUGCAGUGGAUACUGGGUCACUAGAGUGUGGUAGAGGAUAGUGGAAUUUCCGGUGUAGCAGUGAAAUGCGUAGAGAUCGGAAGGAACAUCUGUGGCGAAGGCGACUAUCUGGGCCAACACUGACACUGAGGCACGAAAGCGUGGGGAGCAAACAGGAUUAGAUACCCGCGUAGUCCCUGUCUCUUAUAC
rnacentral:rRNA from 1 species